UAUGUGAUCGUCUCUCGCAUAUCAAUAAGCGGAGGAAAAGGAACUAACAAGGAUUCCCUUAGUAACGGCGAGUGAAGCGGGAAGAGUUCAAAUUUGAAAUCUUAAAGGGUUUCCCUUUACGAAUUGUAGUUUAAAGAAGUGUUUUCUGUUGAGGUUUUGGUAAAAGUUCUUUGGAAUAGGACAUCAUAGAGGGUGAGAAUCCCGUAUUUGACCUUUACUUUCAACUUUGUGAUACACUUUCAAAGAGUCGGAUUGUUUGGGAAUGCAGUCCAAAAUGGGUGGUAAAUUUCAUCUAAAGCUAAAUAUUGGCGAGAGACCGAUAGCGAACAAGUACCGUGAGGGAAAGAUGAAAAGAACUUUGAAAAGAGAGUUAAACAGUACGUGAAAUUGUCAAAAGGGAAGCGUUUGACACCAGUGUUGUUUUUCUGAAAAUCAAUUAAAGAACUGUUUAUGCUAAGCUUGUUUAGACUUUAUCAGCUAUCUGUUUAGUUUUAGGCUUUUCUUUAAUGCACUUUUCAGUUAACAAGUCAACAUCAAUUUCUUUUGCUGUAAAAAAGGCUUGAGGAAGGUGGCUUGAGAUUCGUCUUAAGUGUUUAUAGCCUCUUGCCUAUGCAGUCGGAGAGAUUGAGGUCUGCAGCGUAGAUCCUUCGGGGCUAAAUGCAUUUGUGCUAAGUUAUAGCAUUUUAUAGACAACUUGUUGACUAUGAUUUGUCUUGUAGCUUACUCGCUUAUGUUAUUUUACCUACGCUUAGGAUGUUGAUCUACAGAGCGAGAGU
rnacentral:rRNA from 1 species